AUUGAACGCUGGCGGCAGGCCUAACACAUGCAAGUCGAGCGGAAACGAGUUAUCUGAACCUUCGGGGAACGAUAACGGCGUCGAGCGGCGGACGGGUGAGUAAUGCCUAGGAAAUUGCCCUGAUGUGGGGGAUAACCAUUGGAAACGAUGGCUAAUACCGCAUGAUGCCUACGGGCCAAAGAGGGGGACCUUCGGGCCUCUCGCGUCAGGAUAUGCCUAGGUGGGAUUAGCUAGUUGGUGAGGUAAGGGCUCACCAAGGCGACGAUCCCUAGCUGGUCUGAGAGGAUGAUCAGCCACACUGGAACUGAGACACGGUCCAGACUCCUACGGGAGGCAGCAGUGGGGAAUAUUGCACAAUGGGCGCAAGCCUGAUGCAGCCAUGCCGCGUGUGUGAAGAAGGCCUUCGGGUUGUAAAGCACUUUCAGUCGUGAGGAAGGUAGUGUAGUUAAUAGCUGCAUUAUUUGACGUUAGCGACAGAAGAAGCACCGGCUAACUCCGUGCCAGCAGCCGCGGUAAUACGGAGGGUGCGAGCGUUAAUCGGAAUUACUGGGCGUAAAGCGCAUGCAGGUGGUUUGUUAAGUCAGAUGUGAAAGCCCGGGGCUCAACCUCGGAAUAGCAUUUGAAACUGGCAGACUAGAGUACUGUAGAGGGGGGUAGAAUUUCAGGUGUAGCGGUGAAAUGCGUAGAGAUCUGAAGGAAUACCGGUGGCGAAGGCGGCCCCCUGGACAGAUACUGACACUCAGAUGCGAAAGCGUGGGGAGCAAACAGGAUUAGAUACCCUGGUAGUCCACGCCGUAAACGAUGCCUACUUGGAGGUUGUGGCCUUGAGCCGUGGCUUUCGGAGCUAACGCGUUAAGUAGACCGCCUGGGGAGUACGGUCGCAAGAUUAAAACUCAAAUGAAUUGACGGGGGCCCGCACAAGCGGUGGAGCAUGUGGUUUAAUUCGAUGCAACGCGAAGAACCUUACCUACUCUUGACAUCCAGAGAACUUUCCAGAGAUGGAUUGGUGCCUUCGGGAACUCUGAGACAGGUGCUGCAUGGCUGUCGUCAGCUCGUGUUGUGAAAUGUUGGGUUAAGUCCCGCAACGAGCGCAACCCUUAUCCUUGUUUGCCAGCGAGUAAUGUCGGGAACUCCAGGGAGACUGCCGGUGAUAAACCGGAGGAAGGUGGGGACGACGUCAAGUCAUCAUGGCCCUUACGAGUAGGGCUACACACGUGCUACAAUGGCGCAUACAGAGGGCGGCCAACUUGCGAAAGUGAGCGAAUCCCAAAAAGUGCGUCGUAGUCCGGAUUGGAGUCUGCAACUCGACUCCAUGAAGUUCGGAAUCGCUAGUAAUCGUGGAUCAGAAAUGCCACGGUGAAUACGUUCCCGGGCCU
rnacentral:rRNA from 1 species